rnacentral:rRNA from 1 species
GCUGACGAGUGGCGGACGGGUGAGUAAUGUCUGGGAAACUGCCUGAUGGAGGGGGAUAACUACUGGAAACGGUGGCUAAUACCGCAUAACGUCGCAAGACCAAAGAGGGGGACCUUCGGGCCUCUUGCCAUCAGAUGUGCCCAGAUGGGAUUAGCUUGUUGGUGAGGUAACGGCUCACCAAGGCGACGAUCCCUAGCUGGUCUGAGAGGAUGACCAGCCACACUGGAACUGAGACACGGUCCAGACUCCUACGGGAGGCAGCAGUGGGGAAUAUUGCACAAUGGGCGCAAGCCUGAUGCAGCCAUGCCGCGUGUAUGAAGAAGGCCUUCGGGUUGUAAAGUACUUUCAGCGGGGAGGAAGGUGUUGUGGUUAAUAACCGCAGCAAUUGACGUUACCCGCAGAAGAAGCACCGGCUAACUCCGUGCCAGCAGCCGCGGUAAUACGGAGGGUGCAAGCGUUAAUCGGAAUUACUGGGCGUAAAGCGCACGCAGGCGGUCUGUCAAGUCGGAUGUGAAAUCCCCGGGCUCAACCUGGGAACUGCAUUCGAAACUGGCAGGCUUGAGUCUUGUAGAGGGGGGUAGAAUUCCAGGUGUAGCGGUGAAAUGCGUAGAGAUCUGGAGGAAUACCGGUGGCGAAGGCGGCCCCCUGGACAAAGACUGACGCUCAGGUGCGAAAGCGUGGGGAGCAAACAGGAUUAGAUACC